UACGUAGGGCGCAAGCGUUGUCCGGAAUUAUUGGGCGUAAAGAGCUCGUAGGCGGUUUGUCACGUCGGCUGUGAAAACCCGAGGCUCAACCUCGGGCCUGCAGUCGAUACGGGCAGACUAGAGUGCUGUAGGGGAGACUGGAAUUCCUGGUGUAGCGGUGAAAUGCGCAGAUAUCGAGGAGGAACCGAGCCGGUAGGGCGGAAGGCGGGUCUCUGGGC
rnacentral:rRNA from 1 species